AUUGAACGCUGGCGGCAGGCCUAACACAUGCAAGUCGAGCGGAUGAAGGGAGCUUGCUCCUGGAUUCAGCGGCGGACGGGUGAGUAAUGCCUAGGAAUCUGCCUGGUAGUGGGGGAUAACGUCCGGAAACGGGCGCUAAUACCGCAUACGUCCUGAGGGAGAAAGUGGGGGACCUUCGGACCUCACGCUAUCAGAUGAGCCUAGGUCGGAUUAGCUAGUUGGUGGGGUAAAGGCCUACCAAGGCGACGAUCCGUAACGGGUCUGAGAGGAUGAUCAGUCACACUGGAACUGAGACACGGUCCAGACUCCUACGGGAGGCAGCAGUGGGGAAUAUUGGACAAUGGGCGAAAGCCUGAUCCAGCCAUGCCGCGUGUGUGAAGAAGGUCUUCGGAUUGUAAAGCACUUUAAGUUGGGAGGAAGGGCAGUAAGUUAAUACCUUGCUGUUUUGACGUUACCAACAGAAUAAGCACCGGCUAACUUCGUG
rnacentral:rRNA from 1 species